rnacentral:rRNA from 1 species
GAUGAACGCUGGCGGCGUGCCUAAUACAUGCAAGUCGAGCGAACAGAUGAGGAGCUUGCUCCUCUGACGUUAGCGGCGGACGGGUGAGUAACACGUGGAUAACCUACCUAUAAGACUGGGAUAACUUCGGGAAACCGGAGCUAAUACCGGAUAAUAUAUUGAACCGCAUGGUUCAAUAGUGAAAGACGGUUUUGCUGUCACUUAUAGAUGGAUCCGCGCCGCAUUAGCUAGUUGGUAAGGUAACGGCUUACCAAGGCAACGAUGCGUAGCCGACCUGAGAGGGUGAUCGGCCACACAGGAACUGAGACACGGUCCAGACUCCUACGGGAGGCAGCAGUAGGGAAUCUUCCGCAAUGGGCGAAAGCCUGACGGAGCAACGCCGCGUGAGUGAUGAAGGUCUUCGGAUCGUAAAACUCUGUUAUUAGGGAAGAACAAAUGUGUAAGUAACUAUGCACGUCUUGACGGUACCUAAUCAGAAAGCCACGGCUAACUACGU